rnacentral:snoRNA from 1 species
GUGCUAUACAAAUAGUUGAAGGUUAAUUAUCAGUGUAACUAUAAAUAGUAAUGCGACCAGUCUCCUUCAGAUAAGA